AAACAGUUAAGAGAUUAGUACAAUAAAUCAAGGCAAGGGAUGGAUAAAGGUUUCUUCCAAUCUGGUGGUAACAACAGAAGUGGCAGGUUUCCUGUUUAUUGAUGAGGUGAAGCCCUGUGAUCAGAACACAAGUGAGCUAGAUUCAGAUCAUGACUCAACUAUUUGCCAGAUAUGGAAAUGGAGCACAGAAACUUUAAGUAACUUUUCUAAGAUUCAACAGCCAGAAAGCAGAAUUAAGAAGUGAGUCCCAAAGAAUCUGACUCUAGCAUUCAUCCUCUUUAAACCUGCACUAGAUUAUCUCAGUAACUAAAAAACAGAGCUUCCACUAAGCCAUAAAAAUGUUAUGGUUCUGUAUCCUCUGGAAAUUAUGGGAGGAAGAAGAGCUGAUAA